GGCAUAGCUGCCAAGCCGUGUAAAACGUCCACCCUCAGAAUGUAUUCAGGUGUGAGAGAGACAUAUACAGUGCAUAAGCGGGGAGCCAAGCAGCUGAUGCAGAGGUGCAAAGAUACAGGUUUCACUUUCACUGACCGGUCUUCAUAACCUAUGGACUGCAUAUGUACUUCUCACAGCGCAGUCAAAAAUGCCCAUCCAACUCCGCCGGCAAAGGCUUGUUCCUUCUCAGUGCUCUCUGCUUCCAGCUGCUUCAGCGCCUUCUCCAUGCUCGUGGGGCACCCGUCUACUGCCGCCCAAGUUUCCACCAGAGCCCAUCCAAGCAGCACAGCUGCCACCGGAUACCACAACCCAUGUUAGAGCCACAUGGCCAACCCGGAAUCAGCGGGGACCGAAGACUCACUCACUCCGAGAUCCUAUUCGUGAUGCCAGUUGUCAGGUGCUAACUGAGGUCAGAGAUGGAUGAAGACUUGGCAGAGUUCUUCAUUCACAACAUUCUUUGCCCAAAAAGUUGAUUGACAAAAACAAUUUGGAGACCCUACAUCAUUUUCAGCAGUCAUGCUAAGGUUUUGAGACAAAUAAAUUGUCGUGUGAAAAACA
ensembl:lncRNA novel transcript